rnacentral:rRNA from 1 species
GGGUCAGUAGGUUGGUCGUGCCACCGGUACGUACUGGUCUCACUGAUUCCUCCUUCCUGAAGAACCGUAAUGCCAUUAAUUUGGUUUUGCGGGGAAACAGGACUGUUACUUUGAAAAAUUAGAGUGUUUAAAGCAAGCUAACGCUUGAAUACAUUAGCAUGGAAUAAUGAAAUAGGACGAUCGAUCCUAUUUUGUUGGUUUCUAGGAUUGACGUA